GUGAUGUCAUUUUAUACAGGAGUGUCCUUGAUGGCUCUGUUUAAGAACACUAACUUCAAAACAGUAAAUCUUAGCACUUGAGAUAGAAUGCUACAAAGUUACUGACUAUGACAAGAACAUGCUUGCAGAAGUAUUUUGGUUUCAAGGUCUCCACGUUAAAAACCUUGGAAUAAUUAAAAUGAAUUAGUAUGCAGUGUUUGACAUUUGCAAUAGAACAAAAACGUAAAACAGGAGAUGUGACACUCAUCUUUCUCCCUGACUAUGGCAUCCUCCCUUCUUCAUGUAUAGAAGUCACUGCCAUUUGCCAUUACGUCCCUGGAAGGCUACAAAUGAAACAUUGCUCUUUACGGCUGGUAAACAACACAGUUGACUCAAAAACAAGGUUGAAACAAACUACAUAUCCUGCAACUGGAAAAUUUCAUGAAAAUUUUGUAUUUCCUUUUAAAUUUUUAACUAAGAUUUAAACCAGGAUAAUAGAUUACUCUUUAGUUCUCAUUGCUGCUCCAAAUAUUAUUUGUUUA
rnacentral:lncRNA from 1 species